rnacentral:rRNA from 1 species
CCUACGGGAGGCAGUAGUGGGGAAUAUUGCACAAUGGGCGCAAGCCUGAUGCAGCCAUGCCGCGUGUAUGAAGAAGGCCUUCGGGUUGUAAAGUACUUUCAGCGGGGAGGAAGGCGAUGGGGUUAAUAACCCUGUCGAUUGACGUUACCCGCAGAAGAAGCACCGGCUAACUCCGUGCCAGCAGCCGCGGUAAUACGUACGUGCCAGCAGCCGCGGUAAUACGUAGGUGCCAGCAGCCGCGGUAAU